GUUGAAGACGAUGGUGUGUCUUUGUCUGAUUGGUUGGGCAUGUUUUUUGUCCUUUUGUGACUUAAGUGAGGCGUGACCGGUUGAUGCCAUGUUCACAUAAUUUUUUGUUACUUUUAAAUAUUUAAAUAAGUGAUACUUUAAUUAAAUUGGAUAUUAAUUGGAAGUGGAUCCUGGGCCUAACACGCAUGCUUUUCCCACCCCCAACUUUUGGGCCCAUUUAUGUGUUUUAACUAUUCUCAAGUUCAU
rnacentral:lncRNA from 1 species